rnacentral:tRNA from 1 species
GCGGGUAUAGUUUAGUGGUAAAACCCUACCCUUCCAAGCUAACGAUGCGGGUUCGAUUCCCGCUACCCGCU